rnacentral:rRNA from 1 species
GGGGACCCGCACAAGCGGUGGAGCAUGUGGUUUAAUUCGAAGCAACGCGAAGAACCUUACCAAGUCUUGACAUCUGGAUGACCGGACCGUAAUGGGUCCUUUCCUUCGGGAUAUCCAAGACAGGUGGUGCAUGGUUGUCGUCAGCUCGUGUCGUGAGAUGUUGGGUUAAGUCCCGCAACGAGCGCAACCCUUAUCCUUAGUAGCCAGCAGUAAGAUGGGCACU